CCGCUACCCUGGGCAGAGUGUUCGAUACCCACCGCCCUCUGGUGAAGAAUUCCCUAACCCCAAACGUGACUUUCCCCUGACACAGGUACAGGGCGGUCUAGAUGAAGACAGUUGGUGUUUGUUCUGCACCAGGAGUCCAGCUGCCCCUCAGAACCCUGGGGCUUCAGUGCUCAGUGCCUCUGUUUCAUCAUCACUUCAGUGAGAAUGCUUCUCAGAAGGGCUACAAGAAGCCAAGCUCCAUUGAAUGGACCAUCCAAAAAUUGAUGUUCUAGACGUGAAGUUUGUGAUUUUUAUCUUCAACAGACAAAAGGCUUUGCAGCUCUGGGAUUUACUCACAUGCAUCCUACCUGACAUGAGAUGCUGAAAUGCAGUCACACAGUAAAGGAAUCUUCAUUCAGCAUUAAUAUGAAAGGGUAUAUCUCAACCAAAACCAAUGCAGUCUGCUUACGGCAAACCAGGUUUGGAUUUUACUUGAAGAUUUUGAAAACAUCAGCAUCUAUCAAAGAAGGUACAGAUCUCAGAUUCUCUGUUGUAAGAACACAGUGUUGUUAUGUACUGAAAAUAUAAACUCCCAAGUGAUGGAGAUUACAGUCUGGAGUCUACCAAUGCUUUUAAGCCUCUUCCAGCAAGAAAUAAAAGAAGGCAAUUGUCAAGAAUCCAAACUACUGGAUACGAUUAUAUCACCUGGAGCAUAGAGACGUGAAGUUUUGAUGAUCUCAUCACCUAUUGGUAUCCAUUUGGAGUUAUUCGCAGUAAUACCUCACCAUGACAACUUCCUUUGUUGGCAGAAAUGAAAGUUUGGAGGAAAUUUCAUUUGAAUAUUAAUUAUUUCUUAAACAAAUUCACUUAAGAAUAAGAGAUCUUGCUCAUACUGAACGGAACCAUUUGUAGUGCCUGUAGCUCUGGUGAAAACUGAGACAUUUAAGCUCUGUCUCUACUGAGAAGAGUGCUUCACAUGACAUGCCUUAAAGUCCUGUGUGUGCUAGCAUCCAGACCAAAGACCUAGCUGAAGCAUUCAGGCAUGUGUUCCUUGGAAACACAAGCAUCAAAGCGACAGGAAGAGGAAGCACCUGGUUCUUACCCUGAUAUGGAGUCAGGAUACGGUUGUAGUGCGCACCUGGCCCCAGCAAGAGGUAUGCCACUUUUGGUAUAGCUACUGUUAGAAACCUGGCAGUCUUUUUGAUGGUAGAAAUCAUAGUCCUGUACCCCAUCUCCUCAUCCCCUUUUCUGGAAUAUGACUGUAUCCUCUCCUCUGCACUAGCGCUUCCAGUCAUCUGACUGCUAACUCAAUUGCUCAGGUCACUACAUUCUAUUUUUCCUUCUGGGUAAGCUCUCUGCCACUUUUGUGAGCUGGAUGACUUGCUGACAGCAAAGAUGAGCACAGCAGGGGCAACAGAGAGAGAGGACAGAGCAGGGAGCAGGAGGAAAGAUGAAUGGAGCAGGAUUUUCCCUGUUGGCAGCUGCAAACUGCACAUCAGCUCAGCCAAAAUAUGAAACCUCACUCUCCUGCAGCUUAUCGUCUGGGCAUGCCCAGUAGAUGUGCUUCCUAGUUUUACUUACAACUACAUACCUUUAGUCUUUUCACCUUAUGUACUUUUAUAGAAUGUUGUAACACAGUCACUUUAUUUAAAUCUAAAGGUGUUUCCCCUUCCUGAGCAUGGUAGAGGCUUUGGAAAAACUUGUUCACAGAAGGGGAGGAAGAAAUAUAAAAGAGCAAGAGAAGACAUUGGCCCAUAAAGAACCAAAUUAAAGACGGUCUCCUUUUCCAACAUUUUGGAAAAAUCAGGUUUACUUAAUAAAAAAAAAUUUAAAAAAAAAAAAAAGG